rnacentral:rRNA from 1 species
UACAGAGGGGGCAAGCGUUGUUCGGAAUUACUGGGCGUAAAGGGCGCGUAGGCGGCCUUCUAAGUCGGACGUGAAAUCCCUCGGCUUAACCGAGGAACUGCGUCCGAUACUGAAAGGCUUGAAUCCGGGAGAGGGAUGUGGAAUUCCAGGUGUAGCGGUGAAAUGCGUGAGAUAUCUGGAGGAACACCGGUGGCGAAGGCGGCAUCCUGGACCGGCAUUGACGCUGAGGCGCGAAAGCUAGGGGAGCAAACGGGG